UGUGACAGGUGUUGUCACAGAUGUGACAGGUGUUGUCACAGCUGUGACAGGUGUUGUCACAGAUGUGACAGGUGUUGUCACAGCUGUGACAGGUGUUGUCACAGAUGUGACAGG